rnacentral:rRNA from 1 species
AACCACUUCCCCCGUUACACAUUAUACCACUUUCCUAUCAGCCGCCCCCCCCCAUUCCGUUUUCCUUAGUCUAUACUCCCUUACCCCGGCCCUCAAACCCUUAGCCCUUAAGUUUCCCGUCCAAAUCGCGUGGGCUUGGAUUUUCUUGCCGUUUUCCUUUUUCCCCAAAGGAGUUUUAAACAAAAAAAAGGAGGUUGGAACCGGGGUUUAAACGGGCGUAACCCUCCCAUAGAACGGAAACUCCUUGAACCUGGUUAAAUCCCGUAACAAAUUGAACCGGAAGGUUUUGAUUGAACGGCUUUUGGGAUUCAGGAAGGAAGAACCCGUGGUCCUUAGGUAGUUGGCAAGUAACGCCUCACCAGGGCUCGAUGCAUAGGGGACUGGAGAGCUUAUCGCCACAUUGGGAAUGGAACAUGCUCCAAAUUCCUACGGGAGGCAGCAGUAGGAAUUUUGGGCAAUGGAAGAAAGUUUGACCGAGCAACGCCGGAUGAAGGAAGAAGGUUUUCGGAUCGUAAAAUUCUGUUGUUAGAGAAGAACAAGGAUGAGAGUAACUGUUCAUCCCUUGACGGUAUCUAACCAGAAAGCCAGGGUUAAUUACGUGCCAGCAGCCGCGGUAAUACGUAGGUGGCAAGCGUUGUCCGGAUUUAUUGGGCGUAAAGCGAGCGCAGGCGGUUUCUUAAGUCUGAUGUGAAAGCCCCCGGCUCAACCGGGGAGGGUCAUUGGAAACUGGGAGACUUGAGUGCAGAAGAGGAGAGUGGAAUUCCAUGUGUAGCGGUGAAAUGCGUAGAUAUAUGGAGGAACACCAGUGGCGAAGGCGGCUCUUUGGUCUGUAACUGACGCUGAGGCUCGAAAGCGUGGGGAGCAAACAGGAUUAGAUACCCUGGUAGUCCACGCCGUAAACGAUGAGUGCUAAGUGUUGGAGGGUUUCCGCCCUUCAGUGCUGCAGCUAACGCAUUAAGCACUCCGCCUGGGGAGUACGACCGCAAGGUUGAAACUCAAAGGAAUUGACGGGGGCCCGCACAAGCGGUGGAGCAUGUGGUUUAAUUCGAAGCAACGCGAAGAACCUUACCAGGUCUUGACAUCCUUUGACCACUCUAGAGAUAGAGCUUCCCCUUCGGGGGCAAAGUGACAGGUGGUGCAUGGUUGUCGUCAGCUCGUGUCGUGAGAUGUUGGGUUAAGUCCCGCAACGAGCGCAACCCUUAUUGUUAGUUGCCAUCAUUCAGUUGGGCACUCUAGCAAGACUGCCGGUGACAAACCGGAGGAAGGUGGGGAUGACGUCAAAUCAUCAUGCCCCUUAUGACCUGGGCUACACACGUGCUACAAUGGGAAGUACAACGAGUUGCGAAGUCGCGAGGCUAAGCUAAUCUCUUAAAGCUUCUCUCAGUUCGGAUUGCAGGCUGCAACUCGCCUGCAUGAAGCCGGAAUCGCUAGUAAUCGCGGAUCAGCACGCCGCGGUGAAUACGUUCCCGGGCCUUGUACACACCGCCCGUCACACCACGAGAGUUUGUAACACCCGAAGUCGGUGAGGUAACCUUUUUGGAGCCAGCCGCCUAAGGUGGGAUAGAUGAUUGGGGUGAAGUCGUAACAUGUGCAUA